ACCAGCGGAGGAUCAUUGCUGGAACGCGCCCCAGGCGCACCCAGAAACCCUUUGUGAACUUAUACCUUACUGUUGCCUCGGCGCUAGCUGGUCCUCCGGGGCCCCUCACCCUCGGGUGUUGAGACAGCCCGCCGGCGGCCAACCCAACUCUUGUUUUUACACUGAAACUCUGAGAAUAAAACAUAAAUGAAUCAAAACUUUCAACAACGGAUCUCUUGGUUCUGGCAUCGAUGAAGAACGCAGCGAAAUGCGAUAAGUAAUGUGAAUUGCAGAAUUCAGUGAAUCAUCGAAUCUUUGAACGCACAUUGCGCCCUCUGGUAUUCCGGAGGGCAUGCCUGUUCGAGCGUCAUUUCAACCCUCAAGCCUGGCUUGGUGAUGGGGCACUGCUUCUUACCCAAGGAGCAGGCCCUGAAAUUCAGUGGCGAGCUCGCCAGGACCCCGAGCGCAGUAGUUAAACCCUCGCUCUGGAAGGCCCUGGCGGUGCCCUGCCGUUAAACCCCCAACUUCUGAAAAUUUGACCUCGGAUCAGGUAGGAAUACCCGCUGAACUUAAGCAUAUCAAUAAGCGG
rnacentral:rRNA from 1 species